rnacentral:rRNA from 1 species
UACGUAGGGUGCGAGCGUUGUCCGGAAUUAUUGGGCGUAAAGAGCUCGUAGGCGGUGUGUCACGUCGUUCGUGAAAACCUGCAGCUUAACUGUGGGCGUGCGGUCGAUACGGGCAUCACUGGAGUUCGGCAGGGGAGACUGGAAUUCCUGGUGUAGCGGUGAAAUGCGCAGAUAUCAGGAGGAACACCGGUGGCGAAGGCGGGUCUCUGGGCCGAUACUGACGCUGGAGGAGCGAAAGCGUCGGGGAGCAAACAGG